rnacentral:rRNA from 1 species
UACGUAGGGAGCAAGCGUUGUCCGGAUUUACUGGGUGUAAAGGGUGCGUAGGCGGCACUGCAAGUCAGGCGUGAAAUAUAUGGGCUUAACCCAUAGACUGCGUUUGAAACUGUGGUGCUUGAGUGAAGUAGAGGUAGGCGGAAUUCCCGGUGUAGCGGUGAAAUGCGUAGAGAUCGGGAGGAACACCAGUGGCGAAGGCGGCUUACUGGGCUUUAACUGACGCUGAGGCACGAAAGCAUGGGUAGCAAAC